rnacentral:rRNA from 1 species
AGUACGUGAAACUGCUUAGAGGUUAAGCCCGAUGAACCUGAAUAUCCGUUAUGGAAAAUUCAUCACUAAUAAUAUGAUAUUUUAAAAAUAUUUUAGAAAUAGUGUGCAAUUUUUCCAUAUAAGGACAUUGUAAUCUGUUAAUGUAAUAAAUAUUUAUCAUAAGAUCCAUUACAAUAGUUUAUUCAAAUUAGUUAUUUUCGGAUUUCUAACAUAGAAUAAAUGUUUUGGAUUUGAUAAAUCAUUGACAGAUAUAAUUAUAUAAUGUGCUUAAAUUCUUCGGAAUUUUACAAUGGUAGAUAGAUCUAUUGAUUUGUUUAUUUAAUUGUAUGCGCUAUUAUGAUUAACAAUGCGAUAGAUUCAGGAUACCUUCGGGACCCGUCUUGAAACACGGACCAAGGAGUCUAACAUAUGUGCAAGUCAUUGGGUUAAAAAACCCAAUGGCAUAAUUAACUUAACUGUUAUUUAUAAUGGGAUUAAUUUAUAUUUUGUUAUGAAUUAUUAAUUCAAUCCCGGGGCGUUCUAUAUAGUUAUGUAUAAUGAUAUUUAUAUUAUUUAUGCCUCUAACUAGAGCGUACCUUGAGC